rnacentral:lncRNA from 1 species
GUGGAAGUGAAAGCAUAUUUUUGCCUUACCACAGAACCCUCUCCUCCAUUUCUAGAUUGUCUGGUGUGCCGGGGCCAAGACAUUGCCAAAAUUACUUUUAUUCUUAAUCUGCUAACAGCUUCUUACUGCUAUCUGGCAGCCACAUGAAGAACUCUACUGAAACUACUCUCACCAAGAUUACAGAUGGCCUACUUGCUGCAAAAUCAACAGAAUGACCAGAAGAGUCCUCUAGUGACAAUGUUGAAAUAUGAUGAAUCCUGUAACAUGAUAACAGAAGAAUUUAUUUACCAGAAUGCCUCUGAGGAAGACAUCACCUUUUCUAAUGAGGAACAGUGAUUGCCCAUUCCUCAUAUAUGCCCUGCAUUUUCUCACCUCAAGGAUUUUGAUCAAUGUGAACUCUAUAUGUGGAAUGUCCUUUUCAUCUUUGAGCACUAUAAUUCACCUGGCCAUUGGGAACCUUGAAGAAUCUGCCUACAAUCUGCAGCCAAGCUUCUUGGGAAUGAUGGAGUCACUGUUUCAGAGAACUCCCCAGGAGAAGGGCACAUUCACAUCCAAGCCUGUUUAAUCUACAAAGUAAGAGAAUUUGUUGGCAUGAUACAAUCAUAUAAAGAAUUCCAUUCUGGAAGAGUGGUAAUGAGAUGAAAGAGACGUAAAAUUGCUGGCAUGACCCUGAAACUAUCCCUCCUGCACUGCUGCUUCCUGCCCCCAACAUGUCCAACUCAGCUGAACAAUCACUCACGUGUGCAGCCCCUUCCUCACGAGAUGGCCAAGUAACCAAGACACCAUUAGCACGGUGACCAAAAGCAUGCUGAUCUUCCACAUCUCUGCAGAUUCUCAAGAGGUCAAUCACUUCGCACUUGUUCUCAAAGGGAGAACUUAAGGUAAUGGGAAGUCAUCGAGGCUUUGACAGAGAAGCGAUUUGGCUUGGCACAUGCACACAAGCCCAACUGCUCUUUGAGAAAGAAAUACAUUUAUUUGAUACUUGGUUCUUUUUGAUGCUAAUUUCUGCUGUUAGUAUUUGCUUGGUGAAAUGCUUUACUCUCUGAAUUUCUAACAAGUUAACUUGGAGAUUUCAUCUUCUCCCAAUAUGAUUUUGAUUUUUAAUAAUACAUGAAAAAGCAUGAUAUAAAAAUCAAACAUUUUCAUAUCCCAUACCUCAUAUUCCAUGUAAUAUUAAAAUAAAGUCCUCAGAGGAAGUGACAUUUCAGAGAAUUUGGCUGAUCUGAAUAUUAGCAGAGGCCCAAAAAAAGAAGUAAGCCUAACAGGGU